rnacentral:rRNA from 1 species
UACGUAGGGGGCGAGCGUUGUCCGGAAUUAUUGGGCGUAAAGCGCGCGCAGGCGGUUUCUUAAGUCUUGUGUUUAAUCCCGGGGCUCAACCCCGGUACGCAUGGGAAACUGGGAGACUGGAGUGCAGGAGAGGGAAGCGGAAUUCCACGUGUAGCGGUGAAAUGCGUAGAGAUGUGGAGGAACACCAGUGGCGAAGGCGGCUUCCUGGCCUGUAACUGACGCUGAGGCGCGAAAGCGUGGGGAGCAAACAGG